rnacentral:rRNA from 1 species
GGGUUGUGAGGUUAAGCGACUAAGCGUACACGGUGGAUGCCCUGGCAGUCAGAGGCGAUGAAGGGCGUGCUAAUCUGCGAUAAGCGCCGGUAAGGUGAUAUGAACCGUUAUAACCGGCGAUACCCGAAUGGGGAAACCCAGUGUGACUCGUCACACUAUCAUUAACUGAAUCCAUAGGUUAAUGAGGCGAACCGGGGGAACUGAAACAUCUAAGUACCCCGAGGAAAAGAAAUCAACCGAGAUUCCCCCAGUAGCGGCGAGCGAACGGGGAGGAGCCCAGAGCCUGAAUCAGCAUGUGUGUUAGUGGAAGCGUCUGGAAAGGCGCGCGAUACAGGGUGACAGCCCCGUACACAAAAGCGCAUGUGCUGUGAGCUCGAUGAGUAGGGCGGGACACGUGGUAUCCUGUCUGAAUAUGGGGGGACCAUCCUCCAAGGCUAAAUACUCCUGACUGACCGAUAGUGAACCAGUACCGUGAGGGAAAGGCGAAAAGAACCCCGGCGAGGGGAGUGAAAAAGAACCUGAAACCGUGUACGUACAAGCAGUGGGAGCACCCUUUGGGGUGUGACUGCGUACCUUUUGUAUAAUGGGUCAGCGACUUAUAUUCUGUAGCAAGGUUAACCGAAUAGGGGAGCCGGAGGGAAACCGAGUCUUAAUUGGGCGUUAAGUUGCAGGGUAUAGACCCGAAACCCGGUGAUCUAGCCAUGGGCAGGUUGAAGGUUGGGUAACACUAACUGGAGGACCGAACCGACUAAUGUUGAAAAAUUAGCGGAUGACCUGUGGCUGGGGGUGAAAGGCCAAUCAAACCGGGAGAUAGCUGGUUCUCCCCGAAAGCUAUUUAGGUAGCGCCUCGUGAAUUCAUCUCCGGGGGUAGAGCACUGUUUCGGCUAGGGGGCCAUCCCGGCUUACCAACCCGAUGCAAACUGCGAAUACCGGAGAAUGUUAUCACGGGAGACACACGGCGGGUGCUAACGUCCGUCGUGAAGAGGGAAACAACCCAGACCGCCAGCUAAGGUCCCAAAGUCAUGGUUAAGUGGGAAACGAUGUGGGAAGGCCCAGACAGCCAGGAUGUUGGCUUAGAAGCAGCCAUCAUUUAAAGAAAGCGUAAUAGCUCACUGGUCGAGUCGGCCUGCGCGGAAGAUGUAACGGGGCUAAACCAUGCACCGAAGCUGCGGCAGCGAACGUAUCACUUAAAGCGAUUCAGCGGAUGACGAUUGACGGAGCGAAGCGACGUCAAAGCGUAUACAAAGUCGAGUCGGUUUAAGGAUACGUUCGUUGGGUAGGGGAGCGUUCUGUAAGCCUGUGAAGGUGGCCUGUGAGGGUUGCUGGAGGUAUCAGAAGUGCGAAUGCUGACAUAAGUAACGAUAAAGCGGGUGAAAAGCCCGCUCGCCGGAAGACCAAGGGUUCCUGUCCAACGUUAAUCGGGGCAGGGUGAGUCGACCCCUAAGGCGAGGCCGAAAGGCGUAGUCGAUGGGAAACGGGUUAAUAUUCCCGUACUUGGUGUUACUGCGAAGGGGGGACGGAGAAGGCUAUGUUGGCCGGGCGACGGUUGUCCCGGUUUAAGCGUGUAGGUGUGUGUUCCAGGUAAAUCCGGUUCACUUUAACACUGAGGCGUGACGACGAGGCACUACGGUGCUGAAGCAACAAAUGCCCUGCUUCCAGGAAAAGCCUCUAAGCAUCAGGUAACAUCAAAUCGUACCCCAAACCGACACAGGUGGUCAGGUAGAGAAUACCAAGGCGCUUGAGAGAACUCGGGUGAAGGAACUAGGCAAAAUGGUGCCGUAACUUCGGGAGAAGGCACGCUGACACGUAGGUGAAGUGAUUUACUCAUGGAGCUGAAGUCAGUCGAAGAUACCAGCUGGCUGCAACUGUUUAUUAAAAACACAGCACUGUGCAAACACGAAAGUGGACGUAUACGGUGUGACGCCUGCCCGGUGCCGGAAGGUUAAUUGAUGGGGUCAGCGCAAGCGAAGCUCCUGAUCGAAGCCCCGGUAAACGGCGGCCGUAACUAUAACGGUCCUAAGGUAGCGAAAUUCCUUGUCGGGUAAGUUCCGACCUGCACGAAUGGCGUAAUGAUGGCCAGGCUGUCUCCACCCGAGACUCAGUGAAAUUGAACUCGCUGUGAAGAUGCAGUGUACCCGCGGCAAGACGGAAAGACCCCGUGAACCUUUACUAUAGCUUGACACUGAACAUUGAGCCUUGAUGUGUAGGAUAGGUGGGAGGCUUUGAAGCGUGGACGCCAGUCUGCGUGGAGCCGACCUUGAAAUACCACCCUUUAAUGUUUGAUGUUCUAACGUGGACCCGUUACCCGGGUUGCGGACAGUGUCUGGUGGGUAGUUUGACUGGGGCGGUCUCCUCCUAAAGAGUAACGGAGGAGCACGAAGGUUGGCUAAUCCUGGUCGGACAUCAGGAGGUUAGUGCAAUGGCAUAAGCCAGCUUGACUGCGAGCGUGACGGCGCGAGCAGGUGCGAAAGCAGGUCAUAGUGAUCCGGUGGUUCUGAAUGGAAGGGCCAUCGCUCAACGGAUAAAAGGUACUCCGGGGAUAACAGGCUGAUACCGCCCAAGAGUUCAUAUCGACGGCGGUGUUUGGCACCUCGAUGUCGGCUCAUCACAUCCUGGGGCUGAAGUAGGUCCCAAGGGUAUGGCUGUUCGCCAUUUAAAGUGGUACGCGAGCUGGGUUUAGAACGUCGUGAGACAGUUCGGUCCCUAUCUGCCGUGGGCGCUGGAGAACUGAGGGGGGCUGCUCCUAGUACGAGAGGACCGGAGUGGACGCAUCACUGGUGUUCGGGUUGUCAUGCCAAUGGCACUGCCCGGUAGCUAAAUGCGGAAGAGAUAAGUGCUGAAAGCAUCUAAGCACGAAACUUGCCCCGAGAUGAGUUCUCCCUGAGACUUUAGGUCUCCUGAAGGAACGUUGAAGACGACGACGUUGAUAGGCCGGGUGUGUAAGCGCAGCGAUGCGUUGAGCUAACCGGUACUAAUGAACCGUGAGGCUUAACCUUACAACGCCGAAG